rnacentral:rRNA from 1 species
UGGGGAAUAUUGCACAAUGGGCGCAAGCCUGAUGCAGCCAUGCCGCGUGUAUGAAGAAGGCCUUCGGGUUGUAAAGUACUUUCAGCGGGGAGGAAGGGAGUAAAGUUAAUACCUUUGCUCAUUGACGUUACCCGCAGAAGAAGCACCGGCUAACUCCGUGCCAGCAGCCGCGGUAAUACGGAGGGUGCAAGCGUUAAUCGGAAUUACUGGGCGUAAAGCGCACGCAGGCGGUUUGUUAAGUCAGAUGUGAAAUCCCCGGGCUCAACCUGGGAACUGCAUCUGAUACUGGCAAGCUUGAGUCUCGUAGAGGGAGGUAGAAUUCCAGGUGUAGCGGUGAAAUGCGUAGAGAUCUGGAGGAAUACCGGUGGCGAAGGCGGCCCCCUGGACGAAGACUGACGCUCAGGUGCGAAAGCGUGGGGAGCAAACAGG